UUUCCGUAGGUGAACCUGCGGAAGGAUCAUCAACAAAACAAUUCAAAAAAACAAAAACAAAACACCAAUUUCAUUCCAAAUUUAUACUGGAAUGUUUUAAUUUUUAAUGGGGAUGUGGAGAUUUCUAAUUUUUUAAUUAGAUUUUUCUCAUGCCCCAUCAUUUAAAAACUAAAACUCCUAAAAUUAAAUUAAAAAAAGAAAAUUCCAAAAAAUUUUAAAAUAUAAAAAUAGAGACAACUUUUAACAAUGGAUCUCUUGGCUCUCGCAUCGGUGAAGAACGCAC
rnacentral:misc_RNA from 1 species